rnacentral:tRNA from 1 species
GGAGAGGUGCCGGAGUGGUUAAACGGCGUCGACUCGAAAUCGAUCGGAGGAGCAAUCCUCACGUGGGUUCAAAUCCCACCCUCUCCA